GAUGAACGCUGGCGGCGUGCCUAAUACAUGCAAGUCGAGCGAAUGGAUUAAGAGCUUGCUCUUAUGAAGUUAGCGGCGGACGGGUGAGUAACACGUGGGUAACCUGCCCAUAAGACUGGGAUAACUCCGGGAAACCGGGGCUAAUACCGGAUAACAUUUUGAACCGCAUGGUUCGAAAUUGAAAGGCGGCUUCGGCUGUCACUUAUGGAUGGACCCGCGUCGCAUUAGCUAGUUGGUGAGGUAACGGCCCACCAAGGCAACGAUGCGUAGCCGACCUGAGAGGGUGAUCGGCCACACUGGGACUGAGACACGGCCCAGACUCCUACGGGAGGCAGCAGUAGGGAAUCUUCCGCAAUGGACGAAAGUCUGACGGAGCAACGCCGCGUGAGUGAUGAAGGCUUUCGGGUCGUAAAACUCUGUUGUUGGGGAAGAACAAGUGCUAGUUGAAUAAGCUGGCACCUUGACGGUACCUAACCAGAAAGCCACGGCUAACUACGUGCCAGCCGCCGCAGUAAUAC
rnacentral:rRNA from 1 species